UACGUAGGUGGCGAGCGUUGUCCGGAUUUACUGGGCGUAAAGAGCGCGCAGGCGGCUGGUCAAGUCCGAUGUGAAAGCUCCCGGCUUAACUGGGAAAUUGCAUCGGAAACUGAUCGGCUGGAAGGUGGGAGAGGGUAGCGGAAUUCCCGGUGUAGUGGUGAAAUGCGUAGAUAUCGGGAGGAACACCAGUGGCGAAGGCGGAUCUCUGGGCCAUUACUGACGCUGAGGAGCGAAAGCGUGGGGAGCGAACAGG
rnacentral:rRNA from 1 species